CAGGCCAGGAUUUCCAAGCAACACUUGCUAACCGAGAAAUUCAAUUAAGGACUCCUCUUCCCACUUGGAGCCGGUCUCCAGGGCACAUUUUCCGGGCAACCCACCCUGCCAGAAAUGAGAAAAUGCUACAAUAAAGCCCGAAAACUGAAAAAGUGGCAACUUUAAUAAUGAUAUCGCUCUCGCUGUCCACCGUAAACACACACGCCCCUUUAGCAGGAAGUCACUGAAGGACGGCGAAGUAGCACAGAUCACUCAUGGAAAGCCAUCUUCUAUAUUUAAAAUGCCACGUCUAGUACAACACAAGAUAUCAGAUGGCAGCAGAGUGAGCGUCGGCCAGCGGCGAUAACUUUCUGUGGAUUUAGCUUCAGUACAGAUUAUUCAAGAUGAAGUGAGCCUCUGUAUGGAGUGACUCCCCAGGAAGAGAAAAAGAGAUGAAACCUUCUGUGCUAAUGAUGUUAGCUGGUAUGAGCACCAUGCUGAUGUGGGAGUCUGUCAUGAGGAUGCAUACAACAGCCCUUGCCCCUGGCCUCCUAGUCAAGAAGGAUCUAAACAUUCAGAAGUGACACCGUGGGCUGUCUUAUGUCAAACCAGAGACCCUCGCUAUCACUCGGGGGGUGGCAUGGCCAUGAAUUGAGGCGGAGGGCUACACCACUCUCCUUUCUUUCUGGCGGUGUCACUCACACACCAGAAAGAAGACACACUCCUUGCAUCAAUCAGAGCCCCAGAUGCAUGUCCGGUGUUCAUCCCACCACCGUGAUGAUGACACUGUCUACAGAUCCACAUAGACAGAAGAACUAAGAGUAACAGGAGGACAAGAGCCUGGAUGCAUGGAUCAACAUACACAGACAACUUUAAACAGGUUGCUUCGUUAAAGUUUAGUGUAAAACAACUGUGGUGCGGAAUAUAUAUCCUAACUUAAGCCUCACCUUGUCUGAGAACAUAAUGGAGUACAGUUAGUUUAACUGGCUUUUGAUGUAUGUUAAUGAAACUAAUCCUAACAAGGCAUCUGGCUCUAAUGUGGGACUGGCAUGAUACCCCCGGCUCCCACAGACAUAGGGAAUGUAGGGAACACUCCCAGAGUGGAGUCCCGCUUCUAGACAGUGGGAAGAAAAUUAAACUGCCAAAUUUGUUUUCAUUGGUUCCAGGGACUAUCCCAGGGGACUUCAAGGCUUUUAAUUGAGCUCACUGAGCAGAAAUUUGUAGGGCUGCUUACUAGCAACAGUGGUGUCUCCCUUUUACUUAUUUGUGGUCUCGGUAAAAGAUUGGGCAAAUUGACAAUGAUUGUUAGAUAAAGGGAUGCUUUGCUUUUCUACUUUUAGUUUGUCAUGUAAAACAAGGAAAUCGUUUUCAUAAUGAUUGAUAAUUAAAAUUCAGGCUCACUUUGUUGAUUUAUUUUUUUUGGCUUUUGAAAGUUUGUGCGUAGGAGGGCAAUGAUUCCGUAAUAAACAGGAGUUCAUUCAGUCCUGGAUAAAAGUAAAUAAAGCCCAGAGCUCACAGGAAAGAUAAUUUGUCUCAGUCAUGAAAAAAGAGCAACAACUCAUAAAACUCAAUUUAGUAAAACUCUAUCCCCUCAGUAUUGUAUAAUAACAAAAACAAGAAGCCACCUUCUCCUUUUCAACACUUUUCUCUCUCCUGCACUUUUUGUCCUUUUAAAAAUUUUCAGUGUGUCAAAACAAGCAAAGGCUACAUGGAAACGGCAGCCCUGUGUAAAUAUUUAUGAUGUAACAUCUCCAUGUGAAUAGACUUUCCUCCCAAUCCAUCCAUCAUUACAGGCAUAUUGUGAAAGCCCACCUCCCGGUGGUGGCUCAGGGCCUUAGGAAGCUCAGACAGGAGUGGCGUGUCCCCCUCUCAUUCAAAGUAUUUGUUUUUCUUUUAACUCGGGGCAGCCCAGCUGUGAGAGCAUUUCAUGUGCCAGCCCCUCCGUUUUCAUUCAAUGUUGACUUCAAAGCCCAUUUUGGUCCAUUGUUUCUGUGACGUGGCUGCUGGACCCGAAAAUGCCCAAACAGAAAAAUGUGAUGUAGGUCAAAUUACAGCAGUUGUGCCCCUGAAACCAGUGGAAUUCUUAUGGUAAAAACAUAAAGCCCUGGUUACCACCUAACCCCAGCGUUUGUGUUUGUUGUCCACAUACCUCUUUAUUUGUUCAUAGAACAGCUGCAUGGACAUUGGGAAGUGUAGAAUAACAAGGCUGUAGUUCAGAGUACUUGGCAGAAAAUCAAUAUUUUAAGUCUGAUCCUUUCUUUGCUCCUUUUUUCUAAUUUAUAACAGUCCACUCAAGAGCAAAAUGUCAAAUAGCUUACUUGUUGAAGAUGUAUUAUAAAUUAUAUUAGGUUGUAGACUCUACUGAGGUCCUGUAUUUUGAGGUUAUUUGUGUGAAUAAGACUUAAGGACAGAUACAGACUAUCUGUUAGGGCAUGUGUGUGCACAGUUCCUUGACUUGUGCAACUGUAUGUAAUGUCUACAUCUGGUACAAAGUGGGAUAAAGGAUCUACUGUAUGUUUUUUUUCUUUCUUCAAGCUCAGCAGUUCUUAAGAAUGUGAAGGUGCAGUAGAUUUAUGAGGCUGUGUAGUUUCAGAAGUAGCUAAGUCUACUGCCUUACCUAAGUGGAUUACAAGGUUUUAGGCUUUUCUCCUUGCACAACAUAUUGGCAGAAAAUAGGCGUUACAGACGUUAGCGAAAUAUUGGCAUUCAGACUCUCAUAAUAUUAUCAUUAGCCAUGGAGGAUUGCUGAAAUGUGAUUAAUACAUCACCAUUUUGACAGACUGAGCCUGAAAAGGUAAUAUAGAUUAUUACAAUGGUUGUAGAGCUCAAUACUAUCCAAGUUUAUCCAUUUAUCUGCAAUGAUGAGACUUCUUUGUGUUGUAUAGCAUUGUAACAUCUAUCUAAAUAACAAAAGAUAUCUCUCCCAUACACAAUUGUCAUGCUGUUAAUAUUCAGUCUGUGCAACAAUACACAUGGGAGUGGAGUGCUGAGACAAAACUUGACUCAGAACCGGGGGAAAAGUCCAUAGAAUAUUAUGAGCAGUAUGAAUCGAUGUCCAAGCCUCUAGUACUGGGCACUUUUGCCUUGGAUUAGGUAUCUGAUUACCUUCAGACAAAAAUAUUGCUUCUGUAUUGUUCAAUUACAACUGAGUGCUGAAUGAUGCAAUUCACUCUCUAAGAGCAGUUUUUUCUUUCUUUGUGUAUACCCUUCGUAUGUGUUUGCCUUGGACGAUACACAGUGAAU